rnacentral:rRNA from 1 species
GUCUGGCCUGCUCACUGAUAAAUUUUAAAGAGCCGCGGUAUUUUGACCGUGCAAAGGUAGCAUAAUCAUUAGUCUCUUAAUUAGAGGCUGGAAUGAAUGGCUUGACGAGAAAUUAACUGUCUCAUAAUAAUUUUUUGAAUUUAACUUUUAAGUCAAAAGGCUUAAAUUUUUUUUUAGGACGAGAAGACCCUAUAGAGCUUUACAUUUUNNA